GGGUUGUGAGGUUAAGCGACUAAGCGUACACGGUGGAUGCCCUGGCAGUCAGAGGCGAUGAAGGACGUGCUAAUCUGCGAAAAGCGUCGGUAAGGUGAUAUGAACCGUUAUAACCGGCGAUGUCCGAAUGGGGAAACCCAGUGCAAUUCGUUGCACUAUCGUUAACUGAAUACAUAGGUUAACGAGGCGAACCGGGGGAACUGAAACAUCUAAGUACCCCGAGGAAAAGAAAUCAACCGAGAUUCCCCCAGUAGCGGCGAGCGAACGGGGAGCAGCCCAGAGUCUGAAUCAGCUUGUGUGUUAGUGGAACGGUCUGGAAAGUCCGACGGUACAGGGUGAUAGUCCCGUACACCAAAAUGCACAGGUUGUGAACUCGAAGAGUAGGGCGGGACACGUGGUAUCCUGUCUGAAUAUGGGGGGACCAUCCUCCAAGGCUAAAUACUCCUGACUGACCGAUAGUGAACCAGUACCGUGAGGGAAAGGCGAAAAGAACCCCGGCGAGGGGAGUGAAAAAGAACCUGAAACCGUGUACGUACAAGCAGUGGGAGCACCUUCGGGUGUGACUGCGUACCUUUUGUAUAAUGGGUCAGCGACUUAUAUUCUGUAGCAAGGUUAACCGUAUAGGGGAGCCGCAGGGAAACCGAGUCUUAACUGGGCGUUAAGUUGCAGGGUAUAGACCCGAAACCCGGUGAUCUAGCCAUGGGCAGGUUGAAGGUUGGGUAACACUAACUGGAGGACCGAACCGACUAAUGUUGAAAAAUUAGCGGAUGACUUGUGGCUGGGGGUGAAAGGCCAAUCAAACCGGGAGAUAGCUGGUUCUCCCCGAAAGCUAUUUAGGUAGCGCCUCGUGAAUUCAUCUUCGGGGGUAGAGCACUGUUUCGGCUAGGGGGUCAUCCCGACUUACCAACCCGAUGCAAACUACGAAUACCGAAGAAUGUUAUCACGGGAGACACACGGCGGGUGCUAACGUCCGUCGUGAAGAGGGAAACAACCCAGACCGCCAGCUAAGGUCCCAAAGUCAUGGUUAAGUGGGAAACGAUGUGGGAAGGCACAGACAGCCAGGAUGUUGGCUUAGAAGCAGCCAUCAUUUAAAGAAAGCGUAAUAGCUCACUGGUCGAGUCGGCCUGCGCGGAAGAUGUAACGGGGCUAAACCAUGCACCGAAGCUGCGGCAGCGACACUAUGUGUUGUUGGGUAGGGGAGCGUUCUGUAAGCCUGCGAAGGUGUGCUGUGAGGCAUGCUGGAGGUAUCAGAAGUGCGAAUGCUGACAUAAGUAACGAUAAAGCGGGUGAAAAGCCCGCUCGCCGGAAGACCAAGGGUUCCUGUCCAACGUUAAUCGGGGCAGGGUGAGUCGACCCCUAAGGCGAGGCCGAAAGGCGUAGUCGAUGGGAAACAGGUUAAUAUUCCUGUACUUGGUGUUACUGCGAAGGGGGGACGGAGAAGGCUAUGUUAGCCGGGCGACGGUUGUCCCGGUUUAAGCAUGUAGGCUGAUUGUCCAGGCAAAUCCGGAUAAUCAAGGCUGAGGUGUGAUGACGAGGCACUACGGUGCUGAAGUAACAAAUGCCCUGCUUCCAGGAAAAGCCUCUAAGCAUCAGGUAACAUCAAAUCGUACCCCAAACCGACACAGGUGGUCAGGUAGAGAAUACCAAGGCGCUUGAGAGAACUCGGGUGAAGGAACUAGGCAAAAUGGUGCCGUAACUUCGGGAGAAGGCACGCUGGUGUGUAGGUGAAGUCCCUGCGGAUGGAGCUGAGACCAGUCGAAGAUACCAGCUGGCUGCAACUGUUUAUUAAAAACACAGCACUGUGCAAACACGAAAGUGGACGUAUACGGUGUGACGCCUGCCCGGUGCCGGAAGGUUAAUUGAUGGGGUUAUCCGUAAGGAGAAGCUCUUGAUCGAAGCCCCGGUAAACGGCGGCCGUAACUAUAACGGUCCUAAGGUAGCGAAAUUCCUUGUCGGGUAAGUUCCGACCUGCACGAAUGGCGUAAUGAUGGCCAGGCUGUCUCCACCCGAGACUCAGUGAAAUUGAACUCGCUGUGAAGAUGCAGUGUACCCGCGGCAAGACGGAAAGACCCCGUGAACCUUUACUAUAGCUUGACACUGAACAUUGAGCCUUGAUGUGUAGGAUAGGUGGGAGGCUUUGAAGCGUGGACGCCAGUCUGCGUGGAGCCAACCUUGAAAUACCACCCUUUAAUGUUUGAUGUUCUAACGUUGGCCCCUUACCGGGGUUGCGGACAGUGUCUGGUGGGUAGUUUGACUGGGGCGGUCUCCUCCCAAAGCGUAACGGAGGAGCACGAAGGUUAGCUAAUCCUGGUCGGACAUCAGGAGGUUAGUGCAAUGGCAUAAGCUAGCUUGACUGCGAGCGUGACGGCGCGAGCAGGUGCGAAAGCAGGUCAUAGUGAUCCGGUGGUUCUGAAUGGAAGGGCCAUCGCUCAACGGAUAAAAGGUACUCCGGGGAUAACAGGCUGAUACCGCCCAAGAGUUCAUAUCGACGGCGGUGUUUGGCACCUCGAUGUCGGCUCAUCACAUCCUGGGGCUGAAGUAGGUCCCAAGGGUAUGGCUGUUCGCCAUUUAAAGUGGUACGCGAGCUGGGUUUAGAACGUCGUGAGACAGUUCGGUCCCUAUCUGCCGUGGGCGCUGGAGAAUUGAGGGGGGCUGCUCCUAGUACGAGAGGACCGGAGUGGACGCAUCACUGGUGUUCGGGUUGUCAUGCCAAUGGCACUGCCCGGUAGCUAAAUGCGGAAGAGAUAAGUGCUGAAAGCAUCUAAGCACGAAACUUGCCCCGAGAUGAGUUCUCCCUGAGACUUUAAGUCUCCUGAAGGAACGUU
rnacentral:rRNA from 1 species